CUGAGCUGCUGCAGCGCCCAGGUCCCGAGCGCGCGGCCGCGGCGCGGAGCGGAGCGGAGCCGGCCCGCAUCCCGCCCGCAUCCCGCCCGCGACGACCUCCCACG
rnacentral:miRNA from 1 species